UUAAAAGCGAAAAGAGAACCCCUUCAAUGUUCCAUUUCAUGUCCCCAUCUCUCUAUAACACGGCAGCAUAUUGCCAAAUCAUGAAAAAUGGUAAACAAUGGACGAAAUAGCAGUCAUUCUCAAAAGAUUUGGGGAUGAGCAGAGCACGCUAUUGGAUCAGUUCGAGCGGCUCUCAUUUGAGGUGCAGCUCAACCAAGCCAUUCUUGGACGGAGUCUUUCGGAGCCAAGUGUAGGUCGGUCUCGGUUCCAUGUACCUCUAAAUGGGGAGGCUCCAGCGCCAUUGGUGACGCAGGUGAGACAAGGGCGGCGUCGUGGAUCGGGUUUCAACAAGGCCUUGAAGAAGUUGUUCAAACCCAUUUUUGGUAGGAAGGGUGCUGCGAAAAAGGAAGUUCCGGAUCCCAAAAACCCCAAAUCCUGGAAGGCUAUUAGCAGAUCCUUAAGGGUUUGAACUUUUUUUAGCUUUCCUUGUAACAGUGCAUUAGCUUCUUCUUCUUCUUCUUAAUUAUCUGCAUACCAUAUAUAAUUCCUUUUCUCUUUUCUGAUAUAGUUAGUAUAAGAUGAUGCGUUAACCUUCUCCUCCUCCUCCUUUCUCCGAUUGCACUUUCAAGGUUUGAACAGGACUUUGCAAGAGCCUGCGUG
rnacentral:misc_RNA from 1 species